UUUCCGUAGGUGGACCUGCGGAAGGAUCAUUAAUGUGUUUGGGCCUCACGGCUCUUCAUUCCGACGCUGUGCGCCUUCGGGCUGCACGCUGAGGGAGCAUAUAUCCACCCCUGUGCACACACACGGUGGCGAGCUGGGUAGCGGCUCGCCGCUGAUCUUUACACACGUCUAAAAGUCAUUGUAUGUUUAUUUGAGAUAAAAACACAACUUUCAGCAACGGAUCUCUUGGCUCUC
rnacentral:misc_RNA from 1 species